GUGUCAGCAGCCGCGGUAAUACAGAGGGUGCAAGCGUUAAUCGGAAUUACUGGGCGUAAAGCGAGCGUAGGUGGCUUGAUAAGUCAGAUGUGAAAUCCCCGGGCUUAACCUGGGAACUGCAUCUGAUACUGUUAGGCUAGAAUAGGUGAGAGGAAGGUAGAAUUCCAGGUGUAGCGGUGAAAUGCGUAGAGAUCUGGAGGAAUACCGAUGGCGAAGGCAGCCNUCUGGCAUCAUAUUGACACUGAGGUUCGAAAGCGUGGGUAGCAAACAGGAUUAGAUACCCUGGUAGUCCACGCCGUAAACGAUGUCUACUAGUCGUUGGGUCCCUUGAGGACUUAGUGACGCAGCUAACGCAAUAAGUAGACCGCCUGGGGAGUACGGCCGCAAGGUUAAAACUCAAAUGAAUUGACGGGGGCCCGCACAAGCGGUGGAGCAUGUGGUUUAAUUCGAUGCAACGCGAAGAACCUUACCUGGUCUUGACAUAUCUAGAAUCUUGUAGAGAUACGAGAGUGCCUUCGGGAAUUAGAAUACAGGUGCUGCAUGGCUGUCGUCAGCUCGUGUCGUGAGAUGUUGGGUUAAGUCCCGCAACGAGCGCAACCCUUGUCCUUAGUUACCAGCGGGUUAAGCCGGGAACUCUAAGGAUACUGCCAGUGACAAACUGGAGGAAGGCGGGGACGACGUCAAGUCAUCAUGGCCCUUACGACCAGGGCUACACACGUGCUACAAUGGUAGGUACAGAGGGCAGCUACACAGCGAUGUGAUGCGAAUCUUUUAAAGCCUAUCGUAGUCCAGAUUGGAGUCUGCAACUCGACUCCAUGAAGUAGGAAUCGCUAGUAAAUCGCGGAUCAGAAUGCCGCGGUGAAUACGUUCCCGGGCCUUGCACACACCGCCCGUC
rnacentral:rRNA from 1 species